rnacentral:rRNA from 1 species
AGCAAGGUUAAGCACUUAAGGUGUGGAGCCGUAGCGAAAGCGCGUUUUAACUGAGCGGUCAGGUACUUGACGUAGACCCGAGACCGGGCGACCUACCCAUGAGCAGGAUGAAGCGAAAGUAAAAUGUCGUGGAGGUCCGAACCCUCGAGCGUUGAAAAGCUCGGGGAUUACUUGUGGGUAGCGGUGAAAUUCCAAGCGAGCCCGGAGAUAGCUGGUUCUCCCCGAAAUAGCUUUAGGGCUAGCCUCAAGGUGAGAGAUACGGGGGUAGAGCACUGAAUGUCCUAGGGGGUAUUGCACCUACCGAAGACUAUCAAACUCCGAAU